CCUACAAUUGUUUCCUCGGGAAUUUUUAUUUUCUUGUUUUUACAUAAGGAUAAGGUGUGGUACUAACUAGUCUCAGGAGUCUAUGCUCUAUUUGAUGUCUAGAUUAUUGAAAGGGAAAGGAUUUUGCGUCAGGUGUUUGUGGUAAAGCUCCAGUAGCAUGGCUGGGCUGUGAGGGGCCUAGUCAGUGGCCAGGUUCCACAGGGUACAGCUGAGCCUAUCAGCCCCAAGUGUGGCCCAUCAAUGGAAAAUCUAUUUAAGGAAGGGAAAGAUCUUCACUGAUAGUAAGAAAUGUGGUGGGGACAACCUUGUGAGUACUAAGCUUGGAGAAGGCCCUGUGUCUGAGGAGAAACCACCGAGAGCAGGCUUCUGAGAGGAGCUGCGGCCUGAUGAAAGGAGAUAGCGCUGGAGCAGGGUUGUCCUGGAGGAGCUGUGGGCUGAGGAGAGCAGCCACACUGAAGCAGGGGACAACUGUGAGGAGGACAGAGCGACAGAGAGUGGGAUCUCCUAUCUUUAAAAGACCUUGGCACCAGUGGUAUUAAUGCAACCUCUGCUGGCCUGUGGUUGCGUGGAGAUGAAGCCUGAAGUCCCUGCUGUUGCCCUACAACAUGAGUAUAAUUAAGGAUGCAGUGGAACGAAAGCAGCCGCACCAUCCGAGAGAGCAUCCAUUGUAGGCACAGGAGCUAUUUUCUGUAUUGCACACUCUGAAAGACUCCAGAACAUGAAAAAUGAUGGCUUCAGAGGCAGACAAAGGGGAUACUGAAUGCAAAAAAAAAAAAGGACUUUCUCGCUCCAUCUCUCCAAAAGACCCAUGCCUUGUGACAGUGGUAUAAGGGCAGCAGAUGGCAAAGUGCGAACAGCAUGGGAAGUCAUCAGGAGUCCCUGGAAAGUGUAUUUCGGGAAGCUGUGUGGCAAAUCAGGGGACAUUACAGGCAGUACUGAGAGCAAGGCAAUCGUCUGCAUAGCCAUAAAAUAACCUUCACCUUUUCUGGCGGAGACUGACACUGCAGUAAACAAGCUCAAACUGGGGAAGGCACACGGUAAAUGUUACAGAUGAAGUCAUAAAAGUCUGGCAGCCACGCAGUUCGUGUCCUUCAUAAAAUCUGUGAAGAAGCAAAUGGGAAGCCAGGGACCGGCCAAAGUACCAGCACAAAUCAAUCUACCUUUCACCAUCUAAAGGAAAGAAAAGCAGACCUGAAAAAGACCUGCUGAGCGGAUCUCUUCCCAAACCCUGUUAAUGCGCUGCCACAUGUUACUGGAACUUGCAAAGCAAGAUGGGGUCCAAGAAGAUUGAAUGAGUUGGGACUGGCAGAGGGGCAGAAAAAUCUUUUCUUUUUAAGUUGGGGUAGCCUGAGAGAAUUCAGUCAUCUGCUCUCUGUGAAUCUGCAGUGGUCUGCAAGCCCGUUUGGGUCUGCUAUACACAUACCAAAGCUACUUGCUGGGGUUUGUAUGGCUGCCUCAAUCCAUUUAAUUUUAUUAAAACUUCCAGAUGAAUAAAUAAUAGGUGUUUCACAUGGAAUAAGAGGAAAUAAUUCCUUGGCUUUGGAGCUUCUAAGGAAAAUCCUUACAUGGAGUUUUUAUGUUUUAUGAGCAACUUUACAAUGACCACUUAGAAAUAUGCAUCAGUUGGUUUUAGAGCCACAUGCACUGGAGUUCAGACUCUGUUUCCCUUUUUCUCCUGCUCCUAGCUCUGUAUUCCUCACUUUGCAGGACUGCCACAGUGCGGUGAAUUGAAGUGAGCCGAUUUGUCUCUGUAGAAGCCGGGGUCAGUACAGCAAGGCACAGGACCUGCAGAAAAGAAAGAAAAGAGGAGAGCACCCUUCUUUCAGUGGGAACAAGUUACCAAGUGAAACCAUACCUUGAUCAGCUGGGAUUUUGGAUUGGCUUUGAUUUUUCUUUGAAACUCCAGGGGAAAAAGUAGUUAAGCCUGCCACUGAACAGGGGAAAAAGAUGGACUUUGCUGUUUUCUGUGACUACCUAGGCCCUAAUCUGCCCUGUAGGAUUAACAACUCACCACACAUGUCUUCUGAAAACCUGUAAUCCCUGGUUGUUGAUGAUACAAACCUUAAUGCUUCUCUUGGACAGGAAUAGGGUAAAUCUCAUCUUCUAAAGGAGCAGCUCUUGCACAGGGAAAUGAAAUUUCAUCUCUGCAUGAACUGAGCCUGCUAUUUAAGUGAUCCUGGGGGGAGAAGAGCUGCUGAGCAAUUUGUUGGGAGUAAAAACAACACCUCGUGAUUAACUUUCAGAGAAUCAUACCUUUUGGCUCUUGGCCACAAACAUUUAGUAGUAGGUCAGGCUUGCUGGAGCUGCUUUCCUGCCCGGACCUUAACUGGUAAGCCAAAUCCACUACUCCUUGACAACUUAAUUUUGACUUGGGGACAAAUCAGAAAGGAACAAGAAUAAUUAUGCAACAGCUGUCACUGCAGAAGAAAGAAAAAAAAAUAAAGACUAGCUUGUAAGUCAUGGCAUCCUACUUUAGGAAGCAUAAAACUUGCAAAUGUGGUGCUGGAGCAGAAUCACUCAUAUGUCCAAAUUUUCUUUCAUAAAAGAAAAUCGAACUAGUUGACGAAGUAGACAAUUAUUCCACAGAUGUUUGGUUGGCAGCAGUUAUAACACAGUUCUGGAAGUAAAGGAACAUGUCUCAUGUGCUGUGUACACAAUUCAAAUGACAUGUUUAACUUGUCAAGAAAAAGGAUUUUGAGCAUAAGGCAAAAUCAGUAAAAAUGGCUCCUUUGGGAUGUUUCCGGCUACAAGGCCAAUUUCCUCCCCCCAAAAAGAGGAACCUUUAUUUUUUUUCUUCUGGAUCUGAAGAUGACAAAGAUGAAACUGAGCUUGCUGAGUUACUUGUUCUAAGGCUGAAGUGUUUGGACAUUAUAGUGUUUUCAAAAAAAGAAGGAAAAGCAGGGUUGUGCUGCUGGGGGUAGCCAUCAGCUGCUUCUGCAAAUUAAAAGAGCAUUUACUGCAGUAACUGACAGGGAACUGCAAAAAGAGAACAAGUCUAAAUUGAGCUAAAAUAACAAACAUCAGAAUUUGCCAAACAUCUCAAACUCAGAAAAGAAAAGAAAGAUGCAACCCCUUUAUUCUUCUAUUAAUUUUUCAUUUUGGGGGGACAUCCAGGUCUUCAUUCAGGACUUUCUGUUCUCCUGAAUAACUAUAAAUUCAGAUGACACCAAGUUAGGUGCGUG